GUUAUUAUGCUAUAAAUGUUUAACUAAAGUGGCUGUAGAUCCCUCAUUGUCAUCAACAGUUGUUUGGCAUUUUAUAACUAACCCUAAAGUGCUUCACUACUGGUAAAUGAAUGAUUAAAAAAGCUUCGCUACUGGUAAACGAAUGGUUGAAAAAGCUUAACUACUGGUGAACGAAUGGUUCGUGAAAGAGUAACAACUCAGUAUGAUGCAUUACUUUACAUGAAGGUACACAAAAAGCUUCACUACUGGUAAACGAAUGAUUAAAAAAGCUUCGCUACUGGUAUACGAAUGGUUGAAAAAGCUUAACUACUGG
ensembl:lncRNA